rnacentral:misc_RNA from 1 species
GUAUUAUAGAUGCGUUAUACGCGAUGUCAUUCUACACAUACUACAGAGUUUAUGAUAAACAUAGAGCGCAGGCCUGACGGCCGCAACCCUACAAAUGAUGCACAGGGGUAUGAAGGUUGGAUUUUUGAACGGGGCGUGCACGAUGUCCCGCUAGGGACCAGCAAACAACCCCUUCAAAUAUUCAAUAAUGAUCCUUCCGCAGGUUCACCUACGGAAA